rnacentral:rRNA from 1 species
AACGUACGCUGGCGGCACGCCUAACACAUGCAAGUCGAACGAAGUAGCAAUACUUAGUGGCAGACGGGUGAGUAACAUGUAGGUAUCUGCCCUUUGGCCUGGAAUAACACGAGGAAACUUGUGCUAAUACCGGAUAAGUCUUUACGGAGAAAGCUUUAUGCACCAUUGGAUGAGCCUGCACUUGAUUAGUUUGUUGGUGGGGUAAUGGCCUACCAAGACUGUGAUCAAUAGCUGAUUUGAGAGGAUGAUCAGCCACAUUGGGACUGAGACACGGCCCAAACUCCUACGGGAGGCAGCAGUGGGGAAUCUUGCACAAUGGAGGAAACUCUGAUGCAGCGAUGCCGCGUGAGUGAAGAAGGCCCUUGGGUUGUAAAGCUCUUUCGUCGGGGAAGAAAAUGACUGUACCCGAAUAAGAAGGUCCGGCUAACUUCGUGCCAGCAGCCGCGGUAAUACGAAGGGACCUAGCGUAGUUCGGAAUUACUGGGCUUAAAGAGUUCGUAGGUGGUUGAAAAAGUUAGUGGUGAAAUCCCAGAGCUUAACUCUGGAACUGCCAUUAAAACUUUUCAGCUAGAGUAUGAUAGAGGAAAGCAGAAUUUCUAGUGUAGAGGUGAAAUUCGUAGAUAUUAGAAAGAAUACCAAUUGCGAAGGCAGCUUUCUGGAUCAUUACUGACACUGAGGAACGAAAGCAUGGGUAGCGAAGAGGAUUAGAUACCCUCGUAGUCCAUGCCGUAAACGAUGUGUGUUAGACGUUGGAAAUUUAUUUUCAGUGUCGCAGGGAAACCGAUAAACACACCGCCUGGGGAGUACGACCGCAAGGUUAAAACUCAAAUGAAUUGACGGGGACCCGCACAAGUAGUGGAGCAUGUGGUUUAAUUCGAAGAUACGCGCAGAACCUUACCAACACUUGACAUGUUCGUCGCGACUCUAAGAGAUUAGAGUUUUCGGUUCGGCCGGACGAAACACAGGUGCUGCAUGGCUGUCGUCAGCUCGUGUCGUGAGAUGUUGGGUUAAGUCCCGCAACGAGCGCAACCCUCACUUUUAGUUGCCAUCAUUAAGUUGGGCACUCUGAAAGAACUGCCAGUGAUAAGCUGGAGGAAGGUGGGGAUGACGUCAAGUCCUCAUGGCCCUUACGUGUUGGGCUACACACGUGCUACAAUGGUAUCUACAACAGGAAGCAAGACUGCGAAGUUAAGCAAAUCCCUAAAAGAUACCUCAGUUCGGAUUGCACUCUGCAACUCGAGUGCAUGAAGCUGGAAUUACUAGUAAUCGUGGAUCAGCGUGCCACGGUGAAUGCGCUCCCGGGUCU